rnacentral:rRNA from 1 species
AUUGACGUUACCCGCAGAAGAAGCACCGGCUAACUCCGUGCCAGCAGCCGCGGUAAUACGGAGGGUGCAAGCGUUAAUCGGAAUUACUGGGCGUAAAGCGCACGCAGGCGGUCUGUCAAGUCGGAUGUGAAAUCCCCGGGCUCAACCUGGGAACUGCAUUCGAAACUGGCAGGCUAGAGUCUUGUAGAGGGGGGUAGAAUUCCAGGUGUAGCGGUGAAAUGCGUAGAGAUCUGGAGGAAUACCGGUGGCGAAGGCGGCCCCCUGGACAAAGACUGACGCUCAGGUGCGAAAGCGUGGGGAGCAAACAGGAUUAGAUACCCCGGUAGUCA